UAAAUUUUGAAUUCUCUCUCAGAAUAAUACUAAUGAUUAGUACUUUAUUUAAAGAAAAGUAUAUAUAUUGUAAAUGUAUGAAAAGAAGUCGGCUUUUUAAUAGGUGAAAAAAGUGGAUUUGUGAUCAGAGACUUCUUUUUAGGCCCAAAUAUUCUUCUUGGGAUUGGUGCAAAUAAUUCAAUUCCCCCUAUAAAUACUCCGCCUCCCUUUCUUCACUUACUCAUAGCUCAUACUGAUGACAUACAGAAAAUAAAAAUCUCAUUUUUUUUUCUUUUGCAAAAAUGGCCCUUUUUGUAUUUUUCCACAGCUUUCUUGAACUGCAUCUAAUUACGAUUUUCACUAAUGAGGAAAUUAAUUCAUAUCGUUGCGGUUCAAUAAAGCUGUGGGAAGAUAUAGAUAGGGUCAAAGAGAAUAACUACAAUUCUUGAAAUCAAAGGAUAUUUUCCUUCCAAUUCUACUUUGAUUAUAUACAUUCUUUUGAGUCUUGGAUCUAUUGAAAAUAAUUGGAGUAAGACUUGUGGGCAUCAUACCCUUUUAGAUCUCACCAUGUAGAUCUCACUUUGAGGGAAUACACUGAAUAUGUAGUUAUUCUACUUAUAUAGAUUGAAGAUUUUGUGAUGCAUGGUUCUUACAGUUUUUAACUUAUAGAUCUGCAUGUUACUUUUUCUUUUUUACUAAGAUUAUUUUUUUACUGACUUGGUAUAUAUAGAUGCAUGGAUUUGUGUUAAUCCAUUAUUGUUGUUAUUAUUGUUUUUGCAGGGAACUAAAGAUGUUUAUGAUGACUGCUGUUAGUUUUAUUAUAAAAAUAGAAAUAUAUGUUUGAGAUUUUACUAUAGAUUAACAGCUUCAUGUGGGAAUAUAUGUUGGAGAUUUUCUGAAGUCUGAACAAGUUUAGACGAACGAACAAGUUCGCGAAUUAUGCGUGAGUCGUGAAAGGUGAGCUUUUAACUUUUACUUCAAAAUUUUCAUGUUCAAAAUUUUGUUACUUUAUUGUAUUUGUGUGUUAAAUUCUUAGCAUGUUCAAAAUUUUGUUACUUUAUUGUAUUUGUGUGUUAAUUUCUUAGAUUUAGUGAGAAAUUGUUAAAUAAUGCGACAAAUUGUUAAUUAAUAUCUAUAAUGUAGUGGCCAUGAAUUAAUAAAAUUGUAUUAGAGGAAUUACUUUAUUAUCUGGAUUAUAUCUGGAUUAGUCGUCUUUAUUAUCUGGAUUAUAUCUGGAUUAGUCGUCUAGAUUAAUCGAGUCAAGACAAGCCGAUAACUUUGACUUUUCAAUAUAUUGUGUUUUAGAUAUUUAUAUUGUGUUUUAACUAUCUGAAUUAGUUGAGUCAAAACAAAUGGAUAACUUUGACUUUUCAAUAUAUUGUGUUUUAAUUUUGCUGGAUGAUAUUUGUGUUCAAUUUCAAUAUAUUGUGUUUUAAUUUUGCUGGAUGAUAUUUGUGUUCAAUGUAUAGCUUUGUGUAUGCUUGAGAUAUAUUGAAUUUUAUUUUUAUCUUCGUGGAAUAGAGAUCUUUUUAAUAUAGAGAUCUUUUUAAUAGAUAAAGAUUUCAUAUGAUACAUGUUUUAGGGAUUGACUUGACUUUUCAAUAUAUUGUGUUUUAAUUUUGCUGGGUGAUAUUUGUGUUCAAUGUAUAGCUUUGUGUAUGCUUGAGAUAUAUUGAAUUUUAUUUUUAAUAGAGAUCUUUUUAAUAGAUAAAGAUUUCAUAUGUACAUGUUGUAGGGAUUGACUUGUGAAGUAUGGUAUUUUUGACUUAGUUUUAACUGUCAAUAUUUUAGUGUUUUAAUUUUGUUAUUUUUGUUUUGCAGCAAUCACAUAAUCUUUUAUUACAUGAAAAAUUAAGAUAUUGUCCAAGUAAAUGAGUGAAGAGGUGGUCGAUGUUGAUGUUGUCAAGGAACCAAAUUCGGUCAAGAUAUCUGCCGCGCCAUUUGCUUCUCGAAAGUUAUGUUGUACCGUUGGACUCCCCAAACUCCUUGCAGGAAUUUCCAGCGAGUCAGUUUCAACACUUGUCACGAAUUAGACCACCAAUACCACAUCAAUUUUUAAUUUGUACAUACUUAGGUGGUAACCAUACAUUUACACAACUCAACUUACAUCAAUUUUUAAUUUGUACAUACUUAGGUGGUAACCAUACAUUAACACAACUCCACUUACUGCAUGGAGUAGAAUUAUAGCUCAAAUACUCGAGGCUUUGCUUCGAACAAUAUUAAUAUUCAAGAAACUAGCUUUCCUAUUGAA